UAAGAAGGAAUGCAAUUUGCUAAGUAGCACUUUCGAUAGCUUAGCGAUAAGGGUAGAAAAGUUCGCAUAUGCUUGAUCUUUUUAAACGGCUCAAAUCUUUCACAGCGAUCAUACAAGCCAGGGAUGUAAGAAGAGUGUCGAGCUUUUUCUUUGUUACUUGCAGUCAAUUCAUCCUCCAAUCUAAAACAUGUAUCUCCCGCAACCACUUUUGCUACAUCAUUCACGAGGUCAUGCAUCAUGAAUCCGCCAUUGCUUGAAGAUUGAAAAAGUUAUCUAGAACAUAGAUCUUGAAAAUACUCUUCAC
rnacentral:misc_RNA from 1 species